rnacentral:lncRNA from 1 species
AUCUAUUCAUUACCAAACAUUCACCCACGACACCCAUUACAUCCACUAAUUACCAAACAUCCAUCCACUACACCCAUUACAUCUACUCAUUACCAUAACAUACACCAUUACCACAUUAACUAGAUGGUGAUCCUCUCCCUAGCCUAUAAAUACAUCCACCCUUCACCAUAACAAAAGGGGAGGAGAUCCAUCCAAAGACACAUUCACAUGUACAGUUUAGGGAGAAGGGAGGAAGACACAUUUUGCCGCAAGGCAGAGUCUUUUCUUCUUAACCAUUCUACACAUUCCCACAACAAAAACACAAUUCUAUGCACCGUCAUUUCCCUUUCCUUGCCGUGACCUCCAUCCAACCUAAACACAUUCAGCCAUUCCUUUCCAUAUAUCCAUACGCAUCCAUCAAACCACACCUUGUGCUGCAACAAAGAGAAGAAGGAGGACCCUUGGACGUGCUUGCCAUUCAAGUUGGAUUGUUGGAGCGUUUUUAGGUGUUUUCAUUCUUUUGUUUUCAAUGUCUAAAAUUAUUUAUCUUUGCUUUGUGAGUAUGAGGAACUAAACCCCCCUUAGCUAGGGAGAAUUCGAAACCAUGUUCAUGCUUGCAAUAUGAUUUGAUUACUUUCAGUUGUGAUUCAUAAGUUGUGAAUUCAAUCUACUUAUCCAUUUGAAUUAAAACUGAUUUAUGUGUGUUGGUUGAGAGUGCACGCUUAAUUUUCAUGCAUAAAUCUGAUGCUAGGAUAUAAGGGAGUUUCACCUAAUCGUUAUGAACUUUUAUUCACAAGUAUUGAAGGUUGCUCUUCACAACCAGUGAAGGUUGCUCUUCACAACCGUGUUAAGUAAAUUAUUGGCAUAAGUUUCAUGCAAUUCAUAGUUACAAGUGUUUCGUCAAUGCUUAUGAUUUUCAUAGAAC